rnacentral:rRNA from 1 species
AGUGAACGCUGGCGGCGUGCUUAACACAUGCAAGUCGAACGGAUGAAAUAAGCUUGCUUAUUUCGUUAGUGGCGCACGGGUGAGUAAUGUAUAGCUAACCUGCCCUUAAGUGGGGGACAACAGUUGGAAACGACUGCUAAUACCCCAUACUCCUUCUUAUCACAAGGUAAGUUGGGAAAGAUUUAUUGCUAAAGGAUGGGGCUUUAUGGUAUCAGCUAGUUGGUGGGGUAACGGCCUACCAAGGCAAUGACGCCUACCUGGUCUGAGAGGAUGAGCAGGCACACUGGAACUGAGACACGGUCCAGACUCCUAAGGGAGGCAGCAGUGGGGAAUAUUGCACAAUGGAGGAAACUCUGAUGCAGCAACGCCGCGUGGAGGAUGACGCAUUUCGGUGUGUAAACUCCUUUUAUAAGGGAAGAUAAUGACGGUACCUUAUGAAUAAGCACCGGCUAACUCCGUGCCAGCCGCCGCUGUAAUAC